UACGUAGGGGGCGAGCGUUGUCCGGAGUUACUGGGCGUAAAGGGCGUGCAGGCGGUGGUGCGCGUUUUGUGUGACAGCGCAUGGCUUAACUAUGCGAGCAUACGAAAGACAGCAGCACUUGAGAGCGCGAGAGGGACACGGAAUUCCGGGUGGAGUGGUGAAAUGCGUAGAGAUCCGGAGGAACACCGAAGG
rnacentral:rRNA from 1 species